rnacentral:rRNA from 1 species
UAAUUCUAGAGCUAAUACAUGCUGGUAGGCCCGACUUUUGCGGAAGGGCGGUAUUUAUUAGAUAACAAGCCAAUAUUCCUCUGGUCUAUUGUGGUGACUCAUAAUAACUGAUCGAAUCGCAAGGCCUUUGGCCGCGAUAAGUCAUUCAAGUUUCUGCCCCAUCAGCUUUCGAUGGUAGUGUAUUGGACUACCAUGGCAAUAACGGGUAACGGAGAAUUAGGGUUCGAUUCCGGAGAGGGAGCCUGAGAAACGGCUACCACAUCUAAGGAUGGCAGCAGAGGCGUAAAUUACCCAAUCCUGACUCAGGGAGGUAGUGACAAGAAAUAACGGAUCGGGGCUAUGCCCUGGGACU